UGAAACCGGAGAGAUUCCGCGAUCGUGC
rnacentral:sRNA from 1 species